AGAUAAAGAGGAUACAGUGGUAAAGAACAAUAACAAAGUCCCCAUGGGUCUUCAGAUGUUCCUGUUUCUAGGACUGCAGUGGAUGACUGCUUACUGCCUAAAGUUUGGGGCUGACCAAGUUCGACCCACAGGAUCAUAGUCAAUGCCACUUCUAGGGGCGUGCAAGAAUGAGAAUAAGGACGACAGGUGUGGACAGAUGUGCAAGAGCAGGUGCGAGAGAGGAAGUGUUGGGAAAGUGGAUUAGUUAGUGUGGAAACCAGCUGGAACAGGCAGGCCACAGGGAUUCCCCCAGAGGGACACCCAAACCCACGGAUGGGCCAGGGACCACAUGUAUCAGAAUCACCUGGAGACAUGAUUAAAAAUGCAGGUUAGCAGGCCCCACCCAGGAACCUGGAUGUGAGUUCCAGAGGUGUGUCUGAGCUUCCACAUUCUUAGCUGGCACCCCCACGUGAUUCUGAAGCGCGCUCAAGUUUGAAAGGCACUGGAUUAGUGUUUAGUUUUCGUGAGCGGUCGAAGGCGCUCCCAACGCGGUCUGGCCUGAAAUCCACUCGUGGCAGUCCUUUAUAGACAAUUUAGGCAAAGCCAGAGACACAGCACAUCUGGAUCAUCAUCAAGUCCCUUAUAUUCCUGUGAACAAGACAGAAAUAUGUGCCUUUGGGUGUCAAGACAAUUGCCAGAACUUGUUACUCAUUAAAUGAUCAUGCCCCAUACAUGUCUACUUAGGGUUCUCAAGGGCCAGGAGACCCCAACAGUAUGUCACAGGCCUCUGACUUUGGAUCCAAUUGUGCAAUGUUUUCAUCAACGCGAUGAUGAAAAAUAAUGGAAGCUUACUUUUCAGAUCUGAGAUGAUACCAAAUAGAGAAGAAAAGCAAGGUUGUGAGGUGCUAAAAUCAAUAGCUGUGAAGACCCCAACAACAGAGAAGAUCUAUUUUUAAAACUGUUAAACCCUUUAUUCAGACGGAAAUCUGAUAUAGAAAUACAAUAUAAACCCAAGGACAGAGGAGCUGCUGUGUCUGAAAUGGGAGAGAACACCUGAGCCCUGACUCUCAAAUCCCCUUACACCAUUCCCUCCUCUACUUUUCAAGAAGGCUCCUCAGUGACGCCCCAAGGGGCUCCUGACACUUACAUGGGGCAAUCUAACAUGAAGAAAUUUAACAAUCACAUCAAAUCUACAAAGGGCAGAUAGCUCAUCCUUACUUUUGCCUUUUGAGAUAAUGAAAUAAAGAACUUUGUAGGUUCUCUGAG